CUCACGAAAUCGUAGCAGUUUUCACAUCCCUGCUCCCGCUCCGUUGUUGCUGAUUUAAACUAAAGUUCCCGGCUGAUUUAUCACUUGGUACCCACCUCAUGGAAAGUCAGAAACCCUGUGUACAACAGCCCAAGACAAAUUACAAAUUAUACUGCCCAUGCAUCUGUCACAAUGAACGUGAGCAACCAGAUCAACUGGAGAACACAAAGACCUACUAGAACGUAUAGAAUAUGCUGAGUUGGAAGGGACCUACUGAGAAUCAUUGAGUUGCAACUUCUGGCUCUGCACAAGACCAUCCCUGGGAGUCACACCACGUGCUUGAGUAGUUUUCCUGUUAUGAUCUAAGUAUGAAGACACUGCCUGAAGAAUCUAGUUCACACUCUUGAUUAGAAGGUGCAUCACUAGAUUUCUCUUUGCAGUGAUUGAAGAACACAGCACUACAGAGUCUAGGAAAAAUACUCAUCUGAUUAUGCUAGAGCAUCUUCCACGUGCAAAGGGGCAAUACAAUUUAUUACCUAAGCAUCAGAAAAAUUGCCAGGUUCUACUUGGAUGUAACAGACAGAAGAUUCAAGAAUGCAGUAGCUUCUAAAGAUUCAGCUAAAAUGAUUCAGAGAGACUUAAGACAUUUUACUGGAUCAAAUUUUAUUGUUUUUAUAAAAAAAAGAUAGAACCAGAUGCUACUUUUAAGUGAAAUUGUUUAUUACACCAAUCUGUUUUAUAGGAGGUAUAUAUAUAUUUUAUCAUUAAGACAACUUCAAUAAAAUGACUAUCUACAAGAA